GAGAAACAAGAUCCUGUCUCUGCGUUCUUCUCUCGUCUCACCUUGGGACUCUUUAAGAGGCCAAGAAUAUUGUUGAGGAGAUUGGGGAUUUCCUUCACCGUGCAUGUUUCACCAUGGGUUUUAUUCUGUGUUAUUUUAUAUCACCUUCAGUUUCAGCAGUGAACUGGGAAAAGCUGGGAGUGUCCUUGGGGCCAGUUCAUUGCCUGUCUGCCCUUUGAAAACAUAUCUGGGAUCAUAAUUUUCAGGAAAAAAACCUGGAUGCCUGGAGGUGUCCUGGGGAAGAACGGGCUCAGCAUUGAAACUUCUUCUUCAAAGCCUGGCUGGGACAGGUUCUUUUUCAUUUAGCACAGCUUUUCAGCAGCUCAAUGCCCCCUAAGCAAUGAAAGAGGACACAGCUGGCAAUUGUCAGUGAACCAACUGGCUCCCUGACACCACAGGACCGUUUCUGGUGUACUAAGGUCCCUUAACUGGCUCCUCACUUAGCUGGACUUUAUCCCUAAUUUUCUGCCUGUGACCUGCUUUAUCUCCCAUUGCUGCUUGUUUCAUAUUAUGCUUUUCCCUCUUGACAGAGUGACAAGCCAUAAUUUACUGUUUGCCUAUCCUGUUUCUGGUAGGAAAUGUGCUGGGCAUAGGUGCCUGUGCAGCUCUCAAAAAUGUUAUCCUACCUGCCUAUGCUCUGUUUUUUCCCUUCUGUUGCCUUUCUAAGGAGCAGAGUGAGUGGCCCUCACUGACAGGUCAGCCAUUGCCCUCCUGAGUGGGAGCUGACUGCUUGGAAACAGAAGCUAUAGUGGGACCCUCUCCACUGUUAGGGAGUGGUAGAGACCAAGAACUCUGCAGAAAGAGCUGACAGCUCUGGAUACACUUCAUUUUCUCCUGGUACUUUCUAGGGCUAGCAUAAAGUGAGUUAACAAAAAGCAGGUUAACAAAGGAAAUGAGAUUUGUUCCAGGUUUGCCUUGUGUCUCCUAGUUCUCCUCCUGCCGGCUCCUGACCUCAGGCCCUGUAGCUUUCUGCUUAGCAACUCUGCCCUCAGCAGGGUUCUCUUCUAUGCAGCUUCUCGUUUUCACCAGUCAUGUAGAAAUGUCCUAUCUGCCUCCCUCUCACGUUCAAAUGAAACUGGCCAAUUGGUUCAAGUAUUACUUCGGGGGUAGGGAGAGGGAAAUCAGCUAAAUGAUUGCAUUAAGCCUAAUUUCCUUAGGAAAUCAUGCUAAAAUAGAAUAACUUUACUUCCUUUCUUCAAUAUCCCUUCUCCCCUUGCUUUACUGCCUCUCCCUGCACUUCCCCCUGCCUCUCCAGAACUCCAUUGUGAAAAUCCUUUGCUCUUGGGCUUUUUCUCUGAGACUUUCUUUCUGAUCUCAGGAAAACAGAAUGGUCUCGUUUCCCUCCUCCCUCCCUUUCUGCACUGCAGCUUGACAAGGGGACAGGAACUGCUUGUUGCAGAAGAGGACACAUGAUGCUCUGUAGCCUAGUGGUCUGAUCCCAGCAUCAGACUCCAGGAGCAUUCCUCUCCCAGCUCAAGCCGCUUUUCUGUGUCUGAGUAAACUUUCAGCUCCGUGCUUGGCUGCAUUGGCUGGCAUGAUGGUUCCUAUCACUAAAAGUACCUUUGUCUGUGGAGAGAUUAGGAGAUGGAGGAUCUGGUCCUGGUGUGUCUGCCUGAGAGGCUGAUCAUUCCAUUAGCACUCAGUUCUGUAAGGGGACCCCUACCUUACUCCCACUUCUAGAGGUUUGCCCAUUCUUCAAACUCUCAGUGCUGCAGGCAGUGUGCUGCUUGGCCUGCAUGAAGAGACCCUGCAGAGGCCAAGGUGGGGGAGCCUAAGUCCAGAUCCUCAAACACCUACACAUACCCUCUUCACAACUGUGUCACGGCUGUGGCCAGAAGAAAGAAAGAAACAAGAAAGUGUUGCUUGCACAUAGCAAAUGGCAAGCUGCUAAUUCCUGCAGACGGUGAGAUGCUGAGGCCCCAGGGAGAUGACUUCUAGCAAAUGGCUUUUCAACCUUCUCAUUACUGCAACAAAAACCUCCUUUAAGUGAGUGGUCUACUCUGGCUGCCAUAGCAGCUUACCCAUUACAAUGCUGACAUUUUCUGGACCAUGUGCCAAGCGAGUGCUGAGGGGUGUGCGUGUGCGUAAUGCACAUAAUAUGGAGACAGGCGAGAGACUGUUGGUUAGCUAUUGCAGAGAACGGAGCCUGUAAUGCUGCAAAGGAGGGAGUUUUGUCAGAUCAAUUUGCAAGAUGCUUUCAGCUGUCAAGGGAUUACAGUAAGUUUCUGGUGUUCUGUUUGGGAUACACGUGCUUCUCUGCUUGCCCACAAAAAGCAGAAGUGUUGAUGUUGCUAUAUGUUGCUGGGGGAGGCUGUUUUCUGACCUCUGCUGUCUUAAUCAGCUGACUAAUGUAGUGCAUGGUGGUUUGAGGAUAGAGAAGAGGUGAGGGAUGUGGUGAUGGCCUCUGUGUCACAUCAAGAGAAGACAAUAGGAUGGGAGGUGAUGGGGUUUGGAAAAUAGCUUUGGAGGUGGUGGGUUGAAGUUAAGUAUGCUCCUUCCUUGGUAGGCUAGAGCAACUGCCACAGUAUUACUAUGGUAGUAAAUGAAGCAUGCUUUUGCUCCUUUAAGACGCAAGGAAACAGCAUAGAUUUCCUUAUAAAGGUGAGGAGAUGGAGAAUUUAAUCUCAGCUAUGUCAUAACAGGCUGGCACUGUUAAGGGUAGGAAGCUCUGUCAGUCUGCGGUUAUGAUGAUGGGGAACUAGACA